CGGAGGGAUCAUUAAAGAGUUCUAUAACUCCCAAACCCAUGUGAACAUACCUAACGUUGCCUCGGCAGGUCGCACCUACCUUGUAGCACCCUACCCUGUAGGGCCUACCCGGGAGGUGCGGGUAAGCCUGCCGGCGGCCCACCAAACUCUGUUUGAUAUUGAAUUCUGAACCUAUAACUAAAUAAGUUAAAACUUUCAACAACGGAUCUCUUGGUUCUGGCAUCGAUGAAGAACGCAGCGAAAUGCGAUAAGUAAUGUGAAUUGCAGAAUUCAGUGAAUCAUCGAAUCUUUGAACGCAUAUUGCGCCCAUUAGUAUUCUAGUGGGCAGGACCGUUCGAGCGUCAUUUCAACCCUUAAGCCUUCGUUGCUUAGUGUUGGGAGCCUACGGCAACGUAGCUCCUCAAAGUUAGUGGCGGAGUUGGUUCACACUCUAGACGUAGUAAUUUUUUAUCUCGCCUAUUAGUUGGACUAAUCCCCUGCCGUAAAACCCCUAAUUUAUCAAGGUUGACCUCGAAUCGGUUCAGACAAACUCGCUAAAUUGAAGCAUCUUAGUCAGCGAAGGAAAAGAAACCAACAGGGAUUGCCCUAGUAACGGCGAGUGAAGCGGCAACAGCUCAAAUUUGAAAUCUGG
rnacentral:rRNA from 1 species